GUGGAGGAGCACGCGAACCGAAUCUGUAGUAGGCAAGCAAUGGGGUGACGCAGGAAGGUAGCUCAACCCGGGCGAUGGUUGUCCCGGGGUAAGGAUGUAGGGCGAGACGUAGGCAAAUCCGCGUCUCACAUGCCUGAGAUCUGACGCCGAGCCGAUUAAGGCGAAGUGAGUGAUCCUAUGCUGCCGAGAAAAGCCUCUAGCGAGUUGUACAGCCGCCCGUACCCCAAACCGACACAGGUGGUCAGGUAGAGAAUACCAAGGCGAUCGAGAGAACUGUGGUUAAGGAACUCGGCAAAAUACCCCGUAACUUCGGGAGAAGGGGGCCGAUGAUGUGACGGGACUUGCUCCCUGAGCACCGGUUGGCCGCAGAGACCAGCCCAAGCGACUGUUUACUAAAAACAUAGGUCCAUGCGAAGUCGCAAGACAUGUAUAUGGACUGACGCCUGCCCGGUGCUGGAAC
rnacentral:rRNA from 1 species